AAUCAAGACGUUACAAUACCGACGGACUGUUCUGAAGCUGUACAUAUAGUUCCACAAGGAAGCGAACAUUUUGCACCUAUAACAAACGCACCAACAGCCCCUGCAGGAAUAUCGACAACCUCAAGUAGACUCGCAACCUUAAACAUGCAUACGACUCCAAGUACUACGACAGUGCCAACGACAUCGACGAUGAAGCCGCUUUCGCACCUGCCGACAUGUCGAGAUGAUAUCAUCUUUUCCUUGACUCUUAAUGAGUCAGUGGAACACUAUGGCGCCAAAAGAUGCCCGGAUGGGUUACCCGUUUCCGCGGAGGCGGUGGUAAUGGAGUACUGCGGAAUCCCGGUGAUGUCACAGUGGAAAC